GUGAAAUGCAUAGAUAUUACUUAGAACACCAAUUGCGAAGGCAGGUUACCAAGAUAUAACUGACGCUGAGGGACGAAAGCGUGGGGAGCGAACAGGAUUAGAUACCCUGGUAGUCCACGCCCUAAACGAUGUCAACUGGUUGUUGGGUCUUCACUGACUCAGUAACGAAGCUAACGCGUGAAGUUGACCGCCUGGGGAGUACGGCCGC
rnacentral:rRNA from 1 species